rnacentral:tRNA from 1 species
GGCCUGAUGGUCUAGUAGUAUGAUUCUCCCUUCGGGU